rnacentral:rRNA from 1 species
CAGCCGCCGCGGGAAUACGGAGGGUGCAAGCGUUACUCGGAAUCACUGGGCGUAAAGGACGCGUAGGCGGAUUAUCAAGUCUCUUGUGAAAUCUAACGGCUUAACCGUUAGACUGCUUGGGAAACUGAUAAUCUAGAGUAAGGGAGAGGCAGAUGGAAUUCCUGGUGUAGGGGUAAAAUCCGUAGAUAUCAAGAAGAAUACCUAUUGCGAAGGCGAUCUGCUGGAACUUAACUGACGCUAAUGCGUGAAAGCGUGGGGAGCAAACAGGAUUAGAUACCCGCGUAGUCCCUGUCUCUUAUAC